UACUAUAUAGAUUGUUGGUAAAAAAAUGAUUCAAGAAGGAACUUCUGCUUCAAAAUAAAAUUUAAAUUAAGCACAAUGAAAAAGUAUUUUCAAUGAUACACUAAAACCGUGUACGUACAAAGAACACUCAACUAGUACUUUGCAACAUUGCUAGAUAUUUGGUUAAGUAUGUCAAAUAAGUAACAUCAAAUAAAAAUAAUUAGUAUUGUCAUGCUAAAAGUAAUUUAUAUAUAGUACAAAAGUUUAGUUUAGAUUAGUAUUGUUUAGUUUCUUGACAUGGACGUUUAGGACGAAGUCGAUGACAACAGGGGGCAGUGCUCUGGAAUCGGCAUGCCAACAUCAGAACACACCUCCUCAAUUGAUUAGAGGGCAACAACUACGCAUGCCAUCCCGUAGUCUGAGUCAGCUGACUUGAGUGCGGUUCCAAAACUGUACCAAAUUGAUUCCACUGCUCCUUAUCCUCGUCCUCUUCCUAUGAUACCCACCAAAUUACGGGCCACCUGUGGAGAUCGUGCAUAGCAUAUGUCGAGUUUGAGAUAUGUUGGUCAGACAUAGAUGCUCAGGUACAUAUGCCAUUGUGUCACGUCAACCGCAGUUCACGCAAAAAGAGUAGGCACUAGUUGCUACUUAGUGCCAUCAACCCCCUGCAAUAAUUCUAGUAACAUGUGUUGCGUGGAGGUGGGAAAAUUGGGUUUCGACGGACUAAGAUGCCCUCCAGGACCGCCUGGAAAACUGUCGACAGACCCUGAUUCAUUGGUGACAUCACCAACAUGGGACCACACGUGGGCAAAACUGAGUAGCGCCAAUGGCGGCACACGAUGCACAUCGCGUUGAUGCUCCACCAUGACAGCACCAGACGAGUGAAAAUCGCUUAUAAAGAUUUCUCUCUUAGACAAGAUAGAUUAAUUAUGUAAAUCAACCCUCUUUCCUGCUUAUGUCACAUGUUUGCUUCCUCUGUCCCUUCUCUCACAGGAGGAGACAUGCAAGAGAGAAGGGGGCGUGGAAGAUGAUUUCGACGAUGACCCGCACAUGAGAGAAGGGGGUCAACGGCGACAAAGUCUGAUCUUGAUCUACAAGUAAUAGUCGG
rnacentral:lncRNA from 1 species